GAAGCCUAAAGGAGUUCCUUCCGGAAUGGAACCUAAAGUGGAUUAGUGGCGAACGGGUGAGUAACACGUGAGUAACCUGCCUUACACAAGGGGAUAGCCUCUGGAAACGGAGAAUAAUACCCUAUAAAGUCUAAUCAGCCCAUGCUGGAAAGACCAAAGAUUUAUCGGUGUAAGAUGGACUUGCGUCUGAUUAGCUAGUUGGUGAGAUAAAAGCUCACCAAGGCGACGAUCAGUAGCCGGCUUGAGAGAGUGUACGGCCACAUUGGGACUGAGACACGGCCCAAACUCCUACGGGAGGCAGCAGUGGGGAAUUUUGCACAAUGGGGGAAACCCUGAUGCAGCGACGCCGCGUGAUUUAGAAGGCCUUCGGGUUGUAAAAAUCUUUUUUACGGGAUGAAAAUGACAGUACCGUAAGAAUAAGGUCCGGCUAAAUACGUGCCAGCAGCCGCGGUAAUACGUAUGGACCGAGCGUUGUCCGGAAUCAUUGGGCGUAAAGGGUACGUAGGCGGCCUAGUAAGUUAGAAGUUAAAGAAUAUAGCUCAACUAUAUAAAGCUUUUAAAACUGCUAGGCUUGAGAGAUGGAGGGGAAAGUGGAAUUCCUAGUGUAGCGGUGAAAUGCGCAGAUAUUAGGAAGAAUACCGGUGGCGAAGGCGACUUUCUGGUCAUCAUCUGACGCUGAGGUACGAAAGCGUGGGUAGCAAACAGGAUUAGAUACCCUGGUAGUCCACGCUGUAAACGAUGAGUGUUAGGUUCUUGGAAUAAUCUGGGAGCCGCAGCUAACGCAUUAAACACUCCGCCUGGGGAGUACGCACGCAAGUGUG
rnacentral:rRNA from 1 species